GACGAACGCUGGCGGCGUGCUUAACACAUGCAAGUCGAACGGAAAGGCCCUGCUUUUGUGGGGUGCUCGAGUGGCGAACGGGUGAGUAACACGUGAGUAACCUGCCCUUGACUUUGGGAUAACUUCAGGAAACUGGGGCUAAUACCGGAUAGGAGCUCCUGCUGCAUGGUGGGGGUUGGAAAGUUUCGGCGGUUGGGGAUGGACUCGCGGGUUAUCAGCUUGUUGGUGGGGUAGUGGCUUACCAAGGCUUUUAGGGGUAGCCGGCCUGCGAGGGUGACCGGCCCCAUUGGGACUGGGGUACGGCCCGGACUCAUACGGGGGGCAGCGGUGGGAAAUAUUGCACAAUGGGCGGAAGCCUGAUGCAGGAAGGCCGCGUGGGGAAUGACGGCCUACGGGUUGUAAACCGUUUUCGCCUGUGACGACGCGUGGGUGACGGUAAUGGGUAAAGAAGCACCGGCUAACUACGUG
rnacentral:rRNA from 1 species